UACGAAGGGGGCUAGCGUUGCUCGGAAUUACUGGGCGUAAAGGGCGCGUAGGCGGGUCGUUUAGUUAGAGGUGAAAGCCCAGGGCUCAACCCUGGAUUUGCCUUUAAUACUGGCGGCCUUGAGUAUGGCAGAGGUGUGUGGAACUCCGAGUGUAGAGGCGAAAUUCGUAGAUAUUCGGAAGAACACCAGUGGCGAAGGCGACACACUGGGCCAUUACUGACGCUGAGGCGCGAAAGCGUGGGGAGCAAACUGG
rnacentral:rRNA from 1 species